rnacentral:rRNA from 1 species
CCCUUAGAUGUUCUGGGCAGCACGCGCGCUACAAUGGUCUUCGCAAACGGAUGCAUUCUCGAAGGAGAAUGCCAAUCUUGGAAUCUAUGCCUUGGUCGGGACAGUUGCUUGCAAUUUUUCGACUCGAACCAGGAAUUCCUUGUAAUCGUGAUUCAUCACAUCACGAUGAAUACGUCCCUGCCCUUUGUACACACCGCCCGUCGCUCCUACCGAUCGAAGAGUUAGGUGAAUUGUUUUGAUCGAUAAGAUUUGACUAUGGUCAACUCUCGUGGUGAAAUUCUGUGAAUCUGACUGUUUAGAGGAAGGAAAAGUCGUAACA